rnacentral:rRNA from 1 species
GACGAACGCUGGCGGCGUGCCUAAUACAUGCAAGUAGAACGCACAGUUUAUACCGUAGCUUGCUACACCAUAGACUGUGAGUUGCGAACGGGUGAGUAACGCGUAGGUAACCUGCCUGGUAGCGGGGGAUAACUAUUGGAAACGAUAGCUAAUACCGCAUAAUAUUAAUUAUUGCAUGAUAAUUAAUUGAAAGGUGCAAUUGCACCACUACCAGAUGGACCUGCGUUGUAUUAGCUAGUAGGGGAGGUAACGGCUCACCUAGGCGACGAUACAUAGCCGACCUGGGAUGGUGAUCGGCCACACUGGGACUGAGACACGGCCCAGAAGCCUACGGGAGGCAGCAGUAGGGAAUCUUCGGCAAUGGACGAAAGUCUGACCGAGCAACGCCGCGGGAGUGAAGAAGGUUUUCGGAUCGUAAAGCUCUGUUGUAAGAGAAGAACGGGUGUGAGAGUGGAAAGUUCACACUGUGACGGUAGCUUACCAGAAAGGGACGGCUAACUACGUG